AACCCUGACCGAGCAACGCCGCGUGAGUGAAGAAGGUUUUCGGAUCGUAAAGCUCUGUUGUAAGAGAAGAACGAGUGUGAGAGUGGAAAGUUCACACUGUGACGGUAACUUACCAGAAAGGGACGGCUAACUACGUGCCAGCAGCCGCGGUAAUACGUAGGUCCCGAGCGUUGUCCGGAUUUAUUGGGCGUAAAGCGAGCGCAGGCGGUUAGAUAAGUCUGAAGUUAAAGGCUGUGGCUUAACCAUAGUACGCUUUGGAAACUGUUUAACUUGAGUGCAGAAGGGGAGAGUGGAAUUCCAUGUGUAGCGGUGAAAUGCGUAGAUAUAUGGAGGAACACCGGUGGCGAAAGCGGCUCUCUGGUCUGUAACUGACGCUGAGGCUCGAAAGCGUGGGGAGCAAACAGGAUUAGAUACCCUGGUAGUCCACGCCGUAAACGAUGAGUGCUAGGUGUUGGGUCCUUUCCGGGACUCAGUGCCGCAGCUAACGCAUUAAGCACU
rnacentral:rRNA from 1 species